rnacentral:rRNA from 1 species
CAGCCAUGCCGCGUGUAUGAAGAAGGCCUUCGGGUUGUAAAGUACUUUCAGCGGGGAGGAAGGGAGUAAAGUUAAUACCUUUGCUCAUUGACGUUACCCGCAGAAGAAGCACCGGCUAACUCCGUGCCAGCAGCCGCGGUAAUACGGAGGGUGCAAGCGUUAAUCGGAAUUACUGGGCGUAAAGCGCACGCAGGCGGUUUGUUAAGUCAGAUGUGAAAUCCCCGGGCUCAACCUGGGAACUGCAUCUGAUACUGGCAAGCUUGAGUCUCGUAGAGGGGGGUAGAAUUCCAGGUGUAGCGGUGAAAUGCGUAGAGAUCUGGAGGAAUACCGGUGGCGAAGGCGGCCCCCUGGACGAAGACUGACGCUCAGGUGCGAAAGCNUGGGGAGCAAACAGGAUUAGAUACCCUGGUAGUCCACGCCGUAAACGAUGUCGACUUGGAGGUUGUGCCCUUGAGGCGUGGCUUCCGGAGCUAACGCGUUAAGUCGACCGCCUGGGGAGUACGGCCGCAAGGUUA